CGCUGACAGAAUGCUUAACACAUGCAAGUCUACUUGAAUUCUCUUCGGAGAUAGUAAGGUGGCGGACGGGUGAGUAACACGUAAAGAACUUGCCCUGCAGUCUGGGACAACUAUUGGAAACGAUAGCUAAUACCGGAUAUUAUGCGUAAGCCGCAUGGCUUAUGUAUGAAAGCUAUAUGCGCUGCAGGAGAGCUUUGCGUCCCAUUAGUUAGUUGGUGAGGUAACGGCUCACCAAGACCGCGAUGGGUGGCCGGCCUGAGAGGGUGAACGGCCACAAGGGGACUGAGACACGGCCCUUACUCCUACGGGAGGCAGCAGUGGGGAAUAUUGGACAAUGGACCAAAAGUCUGAUCCAGCAAUUCUGUGUGCACGAUGACGGUCUUAGGAUUGUAAAGUGCUUUCAAUCGGGAAAAAGAAAGUGAUGGUACCGAUAGAAGAAGCGACGGCUAAAUACGUGCCAGCAGCCGCGGUAAUACGUAUGUCGCAAGCGUUAUCCGGAUUUAUUGGGCGUAAAGCGCGUCUAGGCGGUCUGGUAAGUCUGAUGUGGAAAUGCGGGGCUCAACUCCGUAUUGCGUUGGAAACUGCCAGACUAGAGUACUGGAGAGGUGGGCGGAACUACAAGUGUAGAGGUGAAAUUCGUAGAUAUUUGUAGGAAUGCCGAUAGAGAAGUCAGCUCACUGGACAGAUACUGACGCUGAAGCGCGAAAGCAUGGGGAGCAAACAGGAUUAGAUACCCUGGUAGUCCAUGCCGUAAACGAUGAUUACUAAGCGUCGGGGGUCGAACCUCGGCACUCAAGCUAACGCGAUAAGUAAUCCGCCUGGGGAGUACGUACGCAAGUAUGAAA
rnacentral:rRNA from 1 species